rnacentral:rRNA from 1 species
AUACGGAGGGUGCAAGCGUUAUUCGGAAUCACUGGGCGUAAAGGACGCGUAGGCGGGUUGGCAAGUGAGAUGUGAAAUCCUACAGCUUAACUGUAGAACUGCAUUUGAAACUGCUAACCUAGAGUAUGGGAGGGGGAGAUGGAAUUAGUGGUGUAGGGGUAAAAUCCGUAGAUAUCACUAGGAAUAACGAAAGCGAAGGCGAUCUCCUGGAACAUAACUGACGCUAAGGCGUGAAAGCGUGGGGAGCAAACAGGAUUAGAUACCCUAGUAGUCC